rnacentral:lncRNA from 1 species
GGUUUGAUAAGUGUGCUUUGUUGAAGGGACUACUUAGCCAAUUAUACUUGGUAUAGUGAUUUUCACAUCCCCGGUUUCUCUAUUGCACUCAUCUCUUUGCUUCCGCCUCUAGUUAUUUUUUAAUUUAUUCGAUCUAAAAACAAAGAGAGAAAUGCAUAGGAGAAAAAGAAAGUGCGAAAAUCAUCUACCAUUUUAUAUAGACUAGAAUAAAGUCAUCAAAGAAGUAUCUUGGUCUCGUCAUCCAACUGUUGUAGAAAAGUGAUGUUAAUGUAACUG